CUCUUUCAUACAUCAUCAAAGUAUACACAUGAGGCAGGGUGCCCCAUGUUUUCUACUGUCUCACCCUAUUUUCUUAAUCAAAUUCGAAUAUUACCAUAGCACAGAUUUACAGAUAAGAACAAAGAUGUCAGCUCAUAAAAUAAAAACAUGCAGAUAUCAAUACAUACAUACAAGUUCAUUGUCAAUAUUGGUCCUCUCCUCUGCAAACUUGCAAUGAAGGCUUUACAUCAGUGGACCAGUACAUCAGUAUGUGAGGUUUCAGUUUCACCGCCACCACAUAAACAGAAGAAAAUUACCAGUGGAAUCAAUUUCCAUAGCCAUUGAAAUGUUUACAUGGGCCAGUGGAUAUUUGCUGAGGGGACCCUAGCUAGGGCUGCACAGAGAGAGGGGACCAUCUUAAGCACUGAGCAGAAAAUCCUUCUCCUUCCCCUUCCCCACAAUCA
rnacentral:lncRNA from 1 species